ACAAGGCUUUAGAUUAAAUGCAAAGUAGUUAAUGGCAUACUCUAGAGCCUCCUUCUGGUGGGCCUGGCUCCAGCCGAGCAGUCAACAUAAUUCUGUCAUUACAUCGAUGUUCUCCGAUCUUGACAUUUCGGUUGCAAACGUUUCAUCACCAGACGAGUGUUCCAAUUUGGUGAGUUCAAAAGCUUGAUGUUCUUCUAUCCAGGUAUGUAUUCAGCCUCCUCGUCUAAGAUCUUGCGCUGGAUCAUGGAUUCCCCCAGGCAAUAUUGGCCAGGCAAGUUCACUAUGGUAGUUCUCGACUGAACCACUGGAUUGCAUUACUUCUGCAAAGGGGACUGAAUGGCGAGUACGAUCUGCAGUUGGUAUUUCUCAAGUAUUCCCAGCUACAGACCACACACGGUCCAGCUGGGAGAUGAUGGGAAAAGAGGGUUUAAAAGCAUCUGAAUAAAGCAAUGUGAAACAAA